AUUGAACGCUGGCGGCAGGCCUAACACAUGCAAGUCGAGCGGAUGAAGGGAGCUUGCUCCUGGAUUCAGCGGCGGACGGGUGAGUAAUGCCUAGGAAUCUGCCUGGUAGUGGGGGAUAACGUCCUGAAACGGGCGCUAAUACCGCAUACGUCCUGAGGGAGAAAGUGGGGGAUCUUCGGACCUCACGCUAUCAGAUGAGCCUAGGUCGGAUUAGCUAGUUGGUGGGGUAAAGGCCUACCAAGGCGACGAUCCGUAACUGGUCUGAGAGGAUGAUCAGUCACACUGGAACUGAGACACGGUCCAGACUCCUACGGGAGGCAGCAGUGGGGAAUAUUGGACAAUGGGCGAAAGCAUGAUCCAGCCAUGCCGCGUGUGUGAAGAAGGUCUUCGGAUUGUAAAGCACUUUAAGUUGGGAGGAAGGGCAGUAAGUUAAUACCUUGCUGUUUUGACGUUACCAACAGAAUAAGCACCGGCUAACUUCGUG
rnacentral:rRNA from 1 species